UGGAGAGUUUGAUCCUGGCUCAGGACGAACGCUGGCGGCGUGCCUAAUACAUGCAAGUCGAGCGGACCGAACGAGAGCUUGCUCUUGUUYGGUCAGCGGCGGACGGGUGAGUAACACGUGGGCAACCUGCCCGCAAGACCGGGAUAACUCCGGGAAACCGGAGCUAAUACCGGAUAACACCAAAGACCGCAUGGUCUUUGGUUGAAAGGCGGCUUCGGCUGUCACUUGCGGAUGGGCCCGCGGCGCAUUAGCUAGUUGGUGAGGUAACGGCUCACCAAGGCGACGAUGCGUAGCCGGCCUGAGAGGGUGACCGGCCACACUGGGACUGAGACACGGCCCAGACUCCUACGGGAGGCAGCAGUAGGGAAUCUUCCGCAAUGGACGAAAGUCUGACGGAGCGACGCCGCGUGAGCGAAGAAGGCCUUCGGGUCGUAAAGCUCUGUUGUGAGGGACGAAGGAGCGCCGUUUGAAUAAGGCGGCGCGGUGACGGUACCUCACGAGAAAGCCCCGGCUAACUACGUGCCAGCAGCCGCGGUA
rnacentral:rRNA from 1 species